GAUGAACGCUGGCGGCGUGCCUAAUACAUGCAAGUCGAGCGAACAGACGAUGAGCUUGUUCCUCUGACGUUAGCGGCGGACGGGUGAGUAACACGUGGAUAACCUACCUAUAAGACUUGGAUAACUUCGGGAAACCGGAGCUAAUACUGGAUAAUAUAUUGAACCGCAUGGUUCAAUAGUUAAAGACGGUUUUGCUGUCACUUAUAGAUGGAUCCGCGCCGCAUUAGCUAGUUGGUAAGGUAACGGCUUACCAAGGCGACGAUGCGUAGCCGACCUGAGAGGGUGAUCAGCCACACUGGAACUGAGACACGGUCCAGACUCCUACGGGAGGCAGCAGUAGGGAAUCUUCCGCAAUGGGCGAAAGCCUGACGGAGCAACGCCGCGUGAGUGAUGAAGGUCUUCGGAUCGUAAAACUCUGUUAUUAGGGAAGAAAAAAUGUGUAAGUAACUAUGCACGUCUUGACGGUACCUAAUCAGAAAGCCACGGCUAACUACGUG
rnacentral:rRNA from 1 species